UACGGGAGGCAGCAGUGGGGAAUAUUGCACAAUGGGCGAAAGCCUGAUGCAGCUAUGCCGCGUGUAUGAAGAAGGCCUUAGGGUUGUAAAGUACUUUCAUCGGGGAGGAAAAAACAAAACUAAUAAUUUUAUUUCUUGACGUUACCCGAAAAAGAAGCACCGGCUAACUCCGUGCCAGCAGCCGCGGUAAUACGGAGGGUGCUAGCGUUAAUCAGAAUUACUGGGCGUAAAGAGCACGUAGGUGGUUUUUUUAAAGUCAGAUGUGAAAUCCCUGGGCUUAACCUGGAACUGCAUUUUGAAACUGAAAUACUAGAGUAUCGUAGAGGGAGGUAGAAUUCUAGGUGUAGCGGUGAAAUGCGUAGAUAUCUGGAGGAAUACCUGUGGCGAAAGCGGCCUCCUAAACGAAUACUGACACUGAGGUGCGAAAGCGUGGGGAGCAAACGAGGGAUUAGAUACCCGU
rnacentral:rRNA from 1 species